rnacentral:rRNA from 1 species
UACGUAGGGGGCUAGCGUUGUCCGGAUUUAUUGGGCGUAAAGAGCGUGUAGGCGGCCAGGUAGGUCUGGUGUGAAAACUCGAGGCUUAACCUCGAGAUGUCAUCGGAAACCAUCUGGCUAGAGUCCGGAAGAGGAGAGUGGAAUUCCUGGUGUAGCGGUGAAAUGCGCAGAUAUCAGGAAGAACACCAAUGGCGAAAGCAGCUCUCUGGGACGUGACUGACGCUGAGACGCGAAAGCGUGGGGAGCGAACAGG